CGCGAAAACUUUACAAUGCUGGCAACAGCGAUAAGGGAACCUCGAGUGCCAGGUUACAAAUCUGACUGUCGAGAUGCCUAAAAAGCAUUUCAUAGCAAGGGCCGGGCAAGACCGGUGCCAGCCGCCGCGGUAACACCGGCGGCUCGAGUGGUAACCGUUAUUAUUGGGUCUAAAGGGUCUGUAGCCGGCCGGAUAAGUCUCUUGGGAAAUCUGGCAGCUCAACUGUCAGGCUUUCAGGAGAUACUGUCUGGCUCGAGGCCGGGAGAGGUGAGAGGUACUUCAGGGGUAGGGGUGAAAUCUUGUAAUCCUUGAAGGACCACCAGUGGCGAAGGCGUCUCACCAGAACGGACCUGACGGCAAGGGACGAAAGCUAGGGGCACGAACCGGAUUAGAUACCCGGGUAGUCCUAGCCGUAAACGAUACUCGCUAGGUGUCGGCCACGGUGCGACCGUGGUCGGUGCCGUAGGGAAGCCGUGAAGCGAGCCACCUGGGAAGUACGGCCGCAAGGCUGAAACUUAAAGGAAUUGGCGGGGGAGCACCACAACGGGUGGAGCUUGCGGUUUAAUUGGAUUCAACGCCGG
rnacentral:rRNA from 1 species